CUGCUGCUGCAGGGUUUGGACGCUACAUGUUCAGAAGAAAUAAACUGUUGGAUUACUUACAUGAGAGGGAAGGAUUCCUGAGCUUGUAGAAUCUGAAUUGAUUCCCUGGCUAGAAAGAUCUUAAACUGUGCUAUGGUCACAUGACUUCUACUUCUCUCUCAACUGGAUACGCUGAGUAGCAAGACAAAUUUCUUGGAAGUAAUCGAGUCAAAAGCAUACAUAGUGAUUUAAAGAAAUUGCUGCUCCAAUGCAAACGGAUUUAGUCCACUAAAGUUAUUGUAGCUAUAUAGAAUCUCACGUUUUAAAGUGCGGCUGUGAAGCUCUAGACACUUUUCACUGAAAUUCUGACCUCUGUUUCUAGAAUCCACUUACUUUAUGUAACAUAUCAAAGUGGUGGGUAAGUCUAUUAGAAGAAACAUGCUUAUUAAAUGUCCUCUGAAAAAUUUCUCUUUAGAUAGUUUCUGAUAAAAUUAGAUAUGACAGGUCAAAAAUAUUGCUUUCAACCUUAGAGUCAGUGCAGUGAUAGUGCCAGUCUUUUAUGAAUAUUCAGAUGUUAGUGCUAUCACAUCAGUCAGAGAAAAUUGUAGAUAUUGCUUAACAAUUAUAGGUUAUAAUAUUUUGUAUUUAUUUGUAAAUUUUCUGUGCAAUUUAAUGUCAGCUGCUCCAAGUAACUGAAUUCAUUUUUCACGUAGCAAAAGCUGAAUGCAGAUGUGUAAGAAGCUUUUAGUGAUUCACUAGCUGCUGAAGUUGAUCGUCAGCUAUGAAAAUAGCCUGAAAUGAACUAGCAGCACUGUUAUGGGCAAUCCUUAGCAUGUUGUCUUCCAAGACUGCUCAGCAUGUUCUGCAAUAUAGUUUUAGUUGACAAAUCACAGUUGUAUUGCACAUGGAUACUUUGGGAAAAUGGGGAGCUUAAGCUCUUCUCUUGCAUUUGACAGUGUUUCUUCAGCUCCUAAGACACCAGUCUUUUUUUCCACUACUUUGAAGCAGUUAUCUGGCUUGUCCUUUGAAAUAUAGUGUACAGAAAAUGCUACCUACUGCUGGGUUACAGAAGAUCACACCCUUGUCUCUUGGAUUGCAUUACUUAGUUAGCUUAGAUUCAGUAAAUGUAAGAAAAUGUGUGGCCUAAUUUUCAAAAACAGGCUCUUUGUUCUUGAUAUUGUAUCAAAGUGUAUGUUACAAUUCUUACAAGAUGGUGCACGAUGUAAGCUUUUAGUUUUUUCCACUGGUGCAGUAGAAGAGGGAAAAAACCAUUGGGCUCAAUUUAGGACUCUGUUCAUGAGUAUGAUGAUAACUAUUGAAUUCUUGUCAUAAUAAACCUUCAGUUUGCUGUUUAAAUGAACUGUGAGAUCUUUUGAAAAUUUGACUGCAGAUACUGACAUUAUCUUUAAAUUUAUAAAAAUUUCAUUAAGUUUCUUUCUGAUAGCUUCCAUAUGUAGUCAAUGGUGAAUAACUGACUUAUGAUAGAAAAAUUCACAAUGAAUUCUUUAACUGAUAAGGAGGAUGAAAGAUUGAAGUAGUACGUUGAAGAGCUUUGCAGGGAGCAGAAGCCUGUCAUUUCACAAGUAGGUGACUGGAUACAGGGCAGUUUUCCUGGCAAUAUUUAUCUUCAGUGAGAGAAGAG